rnacentral:rRNA from 1 species
UACAGAGGGGGCAAGCGUUGUUCGGAAUUACUGGGCGUAAAGGGCGCGUAGGCGGCCUUCUAAGUCGAACGUGAAAUCCCCGGGCUCAACCCGGGAACUGCGUCCGAUACUGGAAGGCUUGAAUCCGGGAGAGGGAUGCGGAAUUCCAGGUGUAGCGGUGAAAUGCGUAGAUAUCAGGAGGAACACCAAUGGCGAAGGCAGCACUCUGGGAUGUGACUGACGCUGAGACGCGAAAGCGUGGGGAGCAAACAGG